rnacentral:rRNA from 1 species
GUGUUCCUACGGGGGGCAGCAGUGAGGAAUAUUGGUCAAUGGUCGGGAGACUGAACCAGCCAAGCCGCGUGAGGGAGGAAGGUACAGAGUAUCGUAAACCUCUUUUGUCAGGGAACAAAGGCGGGGACGUGUCCCCGGAUGAGUGUACCUGAAGAAAAAGCAUCGGCUAACUCCGGGCCAGCAGCCGCGGUAAUACGGAGGAUGCGGGCGUUUUCCGGAUUUAUUGGGUUUAAAGGGUGCGCAGGGGGUCUGUUAAGUCAGCGGGCAAAGCCCGGGGCUCAACCCCGGCCCGC